rnacentral:rRNA from 1 species
AAACUCUGCAUCACAGCGCCUCAAUGACAAGUCAGUGAGGAAAGAUGAUACAGCGAAACACUGUUUUUGUACGCUUCCCUUUCAACGAUUUCGAGUACUCUUUAACUCUCUUUUCAAAGUUCUUUGCAACUUUCAUUCACAUUACUUGUUCGCUAUCGGUUUCCCACCAAUAUUUAGUUUUAUGACAAAUUUACGUCACACUUUGAUCAGCAAUCCCAAGCUAAUCGACUCGUCGAAGGUGUAUGCCAUGGACAAGAACUUUAAACAUGAACGGUGGUCUCAACCUCUUCGCCUAUACGUUCCAGUAUAAUUAGUAAAAAGCCUCGUCCGACACAUCUUCUAUAGGCCACAACUCGGUACUAGGUACCGAUUCACAGGCUGAACUAGAUCCAGUUUCACUCGCCGUUACUAAUGGAAUCAUUGUUAUUUUCUUUUCCUCCGCUUAAUUAUAUGCUUAAAUUCGGCGGGUAAUCUUACCAAGCUGAGAUUCGAUUGUAGAACUAAUGAUUCAACACAGCUUUCACUGUAGUAAAUCACGCCACAGGAAUGCGGGUGGGUCUUGCUCAGAAGGCACAACAUAAUCCUAUUUGCAGAUAGCAAAUUUACCAUAUGUCGGCUCCUUUAACACAAGACACACUUGCUUUCCAGACGCAAGGUGCAAUGCACAAGGCAUAGCCACUCACUUUAGCUAUGCUGUAAGCCUAGGCCACAGCAAAGCCACAAUCAGACACUCAAAAAAGAGGUCUAGUGGGGUUCACGAACACUCAACACGGCAUGAUACCAGGAAUGUCCCGGUAUCGCAAGGUGCGUUCAAAAUUUUGAUGAUUCACGAGGUCCUGCAAUUCGCAUUACGUAUCGCAUUUCGCUGCGUUCUUCAUCGUUGUGGGAACCAAGUUGUCCAUCGUUGAAAGUUGUUUUUCAUUAAUAGAUUAGCAAGGAAUGUCCAGCGACGCAAAAGCAUCAAGCCAGCCAUAUCCUUGUUUUGGAUUCAGUUAAUUGUUUUAUUAGGUAUUGGGCGGCGAGGCACCGAAGUGCCCCGCCUGAGGCUUUCGCCUCUUGUUUUUUUGUAAAAUAAUCACAGGUACCACCACAAUGUGCCAUGAUAGACAAUUUGUAGUGAUGCACUGCUUGUUCUCGGGAGUUUAGAUCGGAGAUCUGAUGUGAUAAUGAUCCCUCCGCAGGUUCACCUACGGAGACCUUGUUACGACUUCACCUUCCUCUAAAAAACAAGGUUCAGAAAGGUUCUCACGGCAAUGUCCAAUAAAGGACAACGCUACGAUCUCGAUUCUUCACCGGGCUUUUCAAUCGGUAGGUGCGACGGGCGGUGUGUACAAAGGGCAGGGACGUAAUCAAUGCAUUUUGAUGAAAUGCGUUUACUAGGAAUUCCUCGUUCACGAUAACAAUUGCAGCUAUCGAUCCCUUUCAAGGCACACUUUAGAAGAUUUCCCAGACCUCUCGGGCAAGGAUAAGCUCGUUGAAUGUGCCAUUGUAACACGCGUGCGGUUCAGAACAUCUAAGGGCAUCACAGACCUGUUAUCGCCCUCAUCUUCCUGUAGCUUAAUGCUACAUGUCCCUCUAAGAAACCGUAAUCUAUCAAAUUGAUAAAAUCGAUUAUUUAGCAGGCGAGGGUCUCGUUCGUUAACGGAAUAAACCAGACAAAUCACUCCACCAACUAAGAACGGCCAUGCACCACCUCCCAAAGAAUCAAGAAAGAGCUCUCAAUCUGUCAAUCCUCACUUUGUCUGGACCUGAUAAGUUUUCCCGUGUUGAGUCAAAUUAAGCCGCAGGUUCCACUCCUGGUGGUGCCCUUCCGUCAAUUUCUUUAAGUUUCAGCCUUGCGACCAUACUCCCCCCGGAACCCAAAGACUUUGAUUUCUCCUACAGUUCAGUCUAUCGUUAAAUCGACAGACCACCCUGAGUCGGCAUAGUUUAUGGUAUAGACUACGAUGGUAUCUAAUCAUCUUCGAUCCCCAUACUUUCGUUCUUGAUUAAUGAAAACAUCCUUGGUAAAUGCUUUCGCAGUCGUUCGUCUUACGAUAAUCUAAGAAUUUCACCUCUGACAUCAUAAUACGAAUACCCACGCCAGUCCCUAUUUAUCAUUACAUCAGUACGCAAACCAACAAAAUAGUACCGAGGUCCUAUCUUAUUAUUCCAUGCUAAUAUAUUCAACGGCAUAAGCCUGCUUUGAACACUCUAAUUUUCUCACAGUAAACGAUUAGUCUCAGGACUCCGACAACUUAAUGCCAGAGACAUCAACUAAAGAAGAGCAAGGCGAGAGAAGUAUUCACCAUAGGUGGAUAUUCUCGUGCCUCGCUAGAAAUCCAACUACGAGCUUUUUAACUGCAGCAACUUUAAUAUACGCUAUUGGAGCUGGAAUUACCGCGGCUGCUGGCACCAGACUUGCCCUCCAAUUGAUCCUCGAUAAUGGAUUUAAAUUGUUCUCAUUCCAAAAGCCCAACAUGAAAUGCUGGGCUGUGUUAUUUAUUGUUACUACCUCACUGUAUUAGUAUUGGGUAAUUUUCGCGCCUGCUGCCUUCCUUAGAUGUGGUAGCCGUUUCUCAGGCUCCCUCUCCGGAAUCAAACCCUAAUUCUCCGUUACCCGUUAAAGCCAUGGCUGUCCAAUACACAGCCAUCAAAGCUGAUAGGGCAGAAGCUCGAUUCGUCCAUCGCCGCAAAAAGCAUGCGAUU